AUUGAACGCUGGCGGCAUGCCUUACACAUGCAAGUCGAACGGCAGCACGGGUGCUUGCACCUGGUGGCGAGUGGCGAACGGGUGAGUAAUACAUCGGAACAUGUCCUGUAGUGGGGGAUAGCCCGGCGAAAGCCGGAUUAAUACCGCAUACGAUCCACGGAUGAAAGCGGGGGACCUUCGGGCCUCGCGCUAUAGGGUUGGCCGAUGGCUGAUUAGCUAGUUGGUGGGGUAAAGGCCUACCAAGGCGACGAUCAGUAGCUGGUCUGAGAGGACGACCAGCCACACUGGGACUGAGACACGGCCCAGACUCCUACGGGAGGCAGCAGUGGGGAAUUUUGGACAAUGGGCGAAAGCCCGAUCCAGCAAUGCCGCGUGUGUGAAGAAGGCCUUCGGGUUGUAAAGCACUUUUGUCCGGAAAGAAAUCCUUGACUCUAAUACAGUCGGGGGAUGACGGUACCGGAAGAAUAAGCACCGGCUAACUACGUG
rnacentral:rRNA from 1 species